UGGGUAACCUGCCUCAAAGAGGGGAAUAGCCUCCCGAAAGGGAGAUUAAUAACGCAUAAUAUGUUUAAGUCGCAUGACUUUAACAUCAAAGGAUUUUUCUUUUAGAAAUUCCACUUUGAGAUGGACCCCGCGGCGCAUUAGCUAGUUGGUGAGGUAACGGCUCACCAAGGCAACGAUGCGUAGCCGACCUGAGAGGGUNAUCAGCCACAUUGGAACUGAGACACGGUCCAGACUCGUACGGG
rnacentral:rRNA from 1 species